rnacentral:rRNA from 1 species
UACAGAGGUCCCAAGCGUUGUUCGGAUUCACUGGGCGUAAAGGGUGCGUAGGUGGUGGGGUAAGUCGGAUGUGAAAUCUCCGAGCUCAACUCGGAAAUGGCAUUGGAAACUACCCUGCUAGAGGGUCGGAGGGGGGACUGGAAUACUUGGUGUAGCAGUGAAAUGCGUAGAGAUGCGGAGGAACACCGAUGGCGAAGGCAGCCCCCUGGGCCAAUACUGACGCUCAGGCACGAAAGCGUGGGGAGCAAACAGG